rnacentral:lncRNA from 10 species
GGACUUGCCAGCCUCCAUAAUCAUGGCAGCCCAUUCCUUAAAAUAAAUCUCACUCUCUCUCUUCCUCUAGAAUAUACAUACAUAUAUAUAUAUAUAUACACACACACACGCACACACAUAUAAUAUUAUAUAUAUUUUAUAUGCACACACAAAAUAACAGAUAGAUAGAUAUCGUAUUAGUUCUGUUUUUUUGGAGAACCCUGACUAGUCCUAGUUGCCUUUCUUUUCUUUUUCCACUUUUCUUCUGAGCUCAUGUUCCACCUUCUGAUAUCUUAACAUCAUUUCCCUGAGCUCACUUUAUCCUUUUCCUUCUUAAAGGCGACCAUUUCAUUAAGUUUUUAAGUGCCUGGUAAUUGCUUGGUUAUGACCGGUGUCUGCUCCAUGGCAGCCUCUUCCUGGUGAGUAUUCCACAUCUGCCAUUGGUUUUUCCUAUCCCUUUCCUACAUUUGCAGAGAUCCUGCAUGUCUUCCUUUUUGAUGACUCAUCUUUGAACAAGUGGAAUUUUUUUUUUUUUUUUUUUUUGAGACGGAGUCUCACUCUGUCGCCAGGCAGGAGUGCAGUGGCGCAAUCUUGGUGCACUGCAACCUCCGCCUCCCGGGUUCCAGUGAUUCUCCUGCCUCAGCCUCCCAAGUAGCUGGGACUAGGGGCCAGGUGUCUAGGUGAGACGCCACAGCGCGGCAGAGAGAACAGAGGCUUCUCUGCAUGCCUGCCAGGGAAUUGGCACCAUGUCAACAGAAAUCUUAGGUUACAGG